rnacentral:rRNA from 1 species
CCUACGGGAGGCAGCAGUGAGGAAUAUUGGUCAAUGGGCGCGAGCCCGAACCAGCCAAGUAGCGUGAAGGAUGACUGCCCUACGGGUUGUAAACUUCUUUUAUAAGGGAAUAAAGUGAGGCACGUGUGCCUUUUUGUAUGUACUUUAUGAAUAAGGAUCGGCUAACUCCGUGCCAGCAGCCGCGGUAAUACGGAGGAUCCGAGCGUUAUCCGGAUUUAUUGGGUUUAAAGGGAGCGUAGGUGGGUUGUUAAGUCAGUUGUGAAAUGUUGCGGCUCAACCGUAAAAUUGCAAUUGAUACUGGUAGUCUUGAGGACAGUAGAGGUAGGCGGAAUGCGUGGUGUAGCGGUGAAAUGCGUAGAUAUCACGAAGAACUCCGAUUGCGAAGGCAGCUUACUAGACUGCAACUGACGUUGAUGCGCGAAAGCGUGGGUAUCGAACAGGAUUAGAUACCCCAGUAGUC